rnacentral:rRNA from 1 species
ACGGAAGGCAGCAGUGGGGAAUAUUGCACAAUGGGGGAAACCCUGAUGCAGCGACGCCGCGUGAGUGAAGAAGUAUCUCGGUAUGUAAAGCUCUAUCAGCAGGGAAGAAAAUGACGGUACCUGACUAAGAAGCCCCGGCUAACUACGUGCCAGCAGCCGCGGUAAUACGUAGGGGGCAAGCGUUAUCCGGAUUUACUGGGUGUAAGGGGAGCGUAGACGGUUCUGCAAGUCUGAUGUGAAAGGCAGGGGCUCAACUCCUGGACUGCAUUGGAAACUGUAGAACUAGAGUGCCGGAGAGGUAAGCGGAAUUCCUAGUGUAGCGGUGAAAUGCGUAGAUAUUAGGAGGAACACCAGUGGCGAAGGCGGCUUACUGGACGGUAACUGACGUUGAGGCUCGAAAGCGUGGGGAGCAAACAGGAUUAGAUACCCUGGUA